rnacentral:lncRNA from 1 species
GGACCCCCCCCCUUCCCGGCCCGCCCCCGCCGUAGGCCGUACUCAGCAGGCCCGGCCCUGCGGCCUACCCCGAACGGAGACCCCGGCCCGGCCGUGCGGCCUACCCCGACCCCGACCCCGACCCGGUCCUGCGACCUACCUCGAACCGAGGGCCCGGCCCGGCCUGGCCGCCCCUCCUCCCCCGCCCCGGGCCCUCUCGCCCCUCCGUACCGGGGAAGGCCGCGGGGGGGCGGAGCGGGGCUGCAGGGAACGGCGGAAUCGAUCGCAGCGCCGGAACCGGGAGGCGGAGGCCGAGGGGCUGCGGGGCUGCACCGGGGCGAACCCCCUCCCAACCCCCCCCCCCUCCGCAUCCCACCCCGCUGGGGGUGUCGGGGCGCGGGGCUGCACCCCAUGGAGGGGAAGUUCCUCCAGCCGAAGAUGGGGGCGACUUCGGGUUCACUGUAGUGGAGCAUUUUCACUUCCGAGUCGCUCAGCCCAAAGUCCCACAUGUAGACGUCGGACAUCUCCCCCGUGAAGGACUGCAGAACGUCGAAGCCUCCCCCGUAGGCGUCCUGCUCCUGCCCCAGCACCACCACGGCCUCGUUGCCCACCACGUAGCCCUUCUGCAGCCCUUUGCGGGGCCACGGGCGCCCGUUGAGCCAGAAGCGCACGAUGCCGCUGGGUGACUCCCAGGUGACGCAGACGUGCUCUGGGUCCAUAUAGUUCUCGGGGAUGUGGAAGGCGACGUAUUUCCCCCCCACGUAGAAGUGGUACUCGGUGGGUUUGAAUUUGAGGAGGAGGAUCUCGUUGUCCUGCUCCUUGGUGGCGUAGGAGAAGAGGCUGUGGGGCCGGGUGAGGUCGGUGUAGGAGCGCAGGCACACGGUGAAGUUGAGCAGGGGGUGCUCUGGCCGUGCCUGCAGCAGCACGUAGGAAUCGUUGGACGCUUGGGGGAACACGAACACUCUGUACUUCAGGUCUGGGAGAGGUGAGAAAAAAGUCAGUGUCCCUCACAGAGGGAAACUAUCAGACGGGGAAGUGGCCACUCUUAGCCCAGAGGUGGCUUCCAGCAUCUCGAGGUGCAGCCACGGGAGGGCUGGUGACCCAGGGUGACAUUGGCACGGGGUGGCGAGGAGGAGCUGGGAGAAGGAGGGCACGGCUGGGGACAGGUUUUCCCCUCCUUACCGUCUAUCCAAAGGUUGUAGGUGGCCACGGCGGUGCCCUGGGGGCUGCUGACCUUGCAGGUGUAGGUGCCCAGGUGGGUUUUGUUUAAGGAGCGGAAGAGGAGGAUAUCACUGGGGCCUUUCUGCAGCGGUUUGUGGAUCCCUUUCUUCUCCCACACGAACUCCUUGGGGCUGUGUGGGGCUCGGUGUCACCCAGGCCUGGGGUUGCCCGUGGGGUGGCCGUGCCGUGGGGUGGAGGGGUUGGGGGGGGAUGCCUUACCCGGGGUCCCCGGAGACCUUGCAGCUCAGCACCAGGCUGUGGUACAUAGAGGGCACUAUGGGGGAGCUCUGGAUCUGGGCGCUCAUUUUGGCUGCGGCACCUGGACAGAAGGACGGCGCUGAGGUGGGGGGGUUUCAUCGCCCUGCCACCCCCCAUCACAGCCCACGUCCCCACGUGUGCCCCUUUUGUGAUGUCCGGCGUUGUAUCCCUGCUGUGCCGCGUUGCUCAGUGCCACCACCCCGUGUGUCCCCCUGUCGUCGUCCCCCGACCCCCUAUGGGAUCUUUCACCCCUACCAUCUGUGGCAGAGAGGCUGCAGAGCCCCACGAGGAAGGAGAGGAGGCAGAAGCGUGGCGUCCCCAUGACCCCACCUCAGUGACAAUGGCAGAGGCACCGCUCCAGGGGACUUCCCAGAAGGAAGGCACUCCCACCUGAUUUUCUCCCUGGACUGCGAGGGCACUGACCCACGUGUCGCUGUGUGGACAUUGGCCCCGCAUCCCACAGGUGGACGUCCGCCAUCUCCCCCGUGAACGAGUUGUAGACGUCGAAGCCUCCCCCGUAGGCGUCCUGCUCCUGCCCCAGCAUCACCACGGCCUCGUUGCCCACCUCGUAGCCCUUCUGCAGCCCUUUGCGGGGCCACGGGCGCCCGUUGAGCCAGAACUCGGCGAUGCCGCUGCCCGACUCCCAGCUGGCGCAGACGUGUUCCCAUUCCCCGCGGUUCUCGGGGACGCGGAAGAAGGCAGUGAGGAGCAGCACGAGGGGCGCGAGGCAGCAGUGCAGCCCCCCCAGCGCCGUGCUCAGCCCCAGCGCGAAAUCAAAGCUCUCAAAGGCACUGCAGGUGAGCGGCAUCACCCCCACCUCCAGCAGGAGCUCCACCACCACCACCACCCCAUAGGGUGCCCACAACCCCCAGAACAGCCACCCCACCCCGCGCCCCAUCGCACCCCGCAUCCCCCUCAGCACCGCAGCCGUCAGCAGCGCUCCGGGCAGCAGCAGAAGGACGCAGCAACACACGGUGAGCUGCAGCAGAUGCACAGCAGAGUCCACAUCCACGUUGCGCUGCACGCACUGCGCGCUCAGCCCCGUCCCCGCGGUGCCACCGCUCAGCGCCGCCGGCACCGCCAUCACCACCGCCGCCACCCAAAGGACCGCCUCCACGCACCAACCUCGGCCCCGCACACCGAACCCCCCGGCACCCAGCAGCAGCCCCUGUGCCAACACGCUGCCGUGCUGCAGCAGCAGCACAGCCCUGCACGGCCCCUCGCCCGCCCGCCACCCCCACGCGAUGCCCGCGGCCGUCGGCGGCAGGGUGAUGGCGAACAGCCCGCAGCACGCGGCCAGUUGGGCCACCAACGCGCGGCCACGGGGCCAGGCGUGGGGACGCAGGGCCAGGGCCAGCAGCAGGGCAGCCGUGGCCACGAGGGCGGUGGCAGCGGUGGCGGCCAGGAAGGGCGGUGCGGCGCGGUAGAAGAAGGGGCAGUAGCGGUUGUGGCACGGCUCUGCGGCCACAAAGUCCUCAUAGUUGCUGUCCGUGUCGUCGUCUGUGUAGCCCUCAUCGUAGAUGGAGUUGAAGAGGUCCACGAGGAACGAGGAGGUUCUGUUCACCACGAUUUCAGGGCUCUGUGAAGGACAGGAGGUGCCGUGUGCUGCGGGGUGACGCUGAGUUGGCCCCUCCGGUGGCCACGUGCCGCGCUUUAUCAGGGAGGGACAGUGUGGGGAGUGCUGAUAUCUCAGGGUGUGGUUUCAUCCCAAGCCAAGAAAACCCGUUUUCUUGCACUCAGUGGUGUUUUCCAGUUCCAGGACUCGUUGCUAUGCACCCCUCCCUGGGGGGGAGGUGGUGUUGGGUACCCUAUGGGGUCAGGGUUGGGUACCCAAUGGGAGUGGGGUUG